UUUAUUCAUACAAGACCCUGCGACAAUGGCGCCCACGUUAAUUUUGAGGAACCAGGAUCCAGAACCCAUUACGAGGACGGAGACCAACGCCCAGUGAGGUUGCUGAUCGACCGUUCUAUAUUUUGGUAGGCCUACCGAUACAAGAAAUACUACCAGGAGUGGUACUUGGAAUUCCACCCGAGGUUAGUCCAUUCAUUGCCGGCAAAACUAAUACGGAAAAAAGUGAUUUGUAAAAAUUUCACCAAAGUGUGCAGUAUUUUGUUCUGAAACACCGCCAAAACCGUAUUUAGCGUUACUCUUAAACUGGUUGGGAACCCACGGAUGCGUGCAGUCUAUUGUUUCCAGUGCCGCAUACCGAGUUUAUAGUGAGUACUCAUCAGAAAAAUCCGUUACUGUGUUUCGUAAUGAAUCAGUUCAGUUUUCAUUCAAAGCCGCGGAGGACCAGUGAGGAGUGAUUCUUUCUCGACGUCGAUCGUUUAUUGAGCUCAAUUAAAAAUUAAAAAUC
rnacentral:sRNA from 1 species